AAAUGCAAGCCGUAAGGGUCUCCCUGUACCCUAUAUAAAGGCAAAGAGGUGGGAAGCUGGAAUUUGGAAGAGAGCUGGAUUUUUACUUGACGAAAAUUGCGCGCGAAAGUUGAGCGUUCUCGUAAUCGCUCCGACGAGAGGUUCGAUGAUAUUUUCGUUCGAAGUUUUUGGUUGCUUGCGAUGUUCUAAGCAAACGCAAAAUUUUGAAGACGAUUUGGCGUCAGCGGUGGUUAUGUUGAUGCGUGAAAUGAAUGGCCUACUGAACAAUAUUUAAUCGCUUUUUCUGUAAGGAAAAAAAGGAAAUGUUCAUUAGAUGAAGCAAAAUACAGAAGGCUAAUAUAAUAAGAAAUCAACUCAAAGCUAAGAGGACUGGAAGAAGGAAAAAACAUCCAAAUAGCUUUAAUGAAUAAGAAUCAAAGUUGAGAAAAGAAAAAGGAAGUUUAUGCAAAGAGCCUGUUGUCGUGUGAACGAUGAAAGUUGUAGGGAAGUUAUAAAACUGUCAUAUCUUAAAUUUCCUCCAUCUUUCUGGAUUUAUCAUGAAGUGUUCUUUAGGGGAAGUGUCAAAAAACAGCAGUGUAACAUUUCCAUUCCUAUCUCUAUCUUCCAAACACUCAAUAGAACUUGAAAGUAGUUUAAAGAAUGAUAAUUUUAAUUGAUAUAUUUGUAUUUUGGAAUAUAUCCAAGGUCUUGUUCCAUAUAAUUUGAUAAUUGGAAACAUCCCACUCUUCUAUCUCCUAUCCCAUAUUCAUUGAACUCAAAAGAGGGAAAAAAAUGAAAUUCAUCUAACUCUGACAAAGUUGGUUGUAUUAACUAUUUAACUGUGUCAUCAAAUAAGAUAAAUAUCAAAUCAUAUUCGUGUAAUGUAAAACUAUUUAAGUUAAUUCUUAAUUAAAUUUUUGUAUGCAAUCUAAUACACAAAACUUGUGAGUAUAUAUUGGAUAUGUUUAGAGUAUGUCUGAUUGUGACAAAAAUGUUUUCGAAUGAUCAAAAUAUUUCCUAUCUUAAUGUUAAAACACUUGAAAAGUAUCUUUGAAAUAAGCAAUUAAGUUGAUGCUUUUUCUCCACCCUUAAAUCUUAAUCUCUUAUUACACACUUUGUUUAAUUACACUUUGCUCGCUAACAUCUCUUUACACUUUUUCGUUAAUCUCCCUCCUGUCAUACAUUUUUUCUCCCUAACUUCUCUCCACCCCACAUUUUCUAACUAAUCUCUCUUUAUACACAUCUUUCUUACUUAUUUUUCAUGACGCACUUUCUUUCACUACGUACCUUCUUUCUACAUAUGUACUUUCUCUUGCUAGUUUCUCUCCAACAAAAUUUUUUCUCACUAAUCUGUUUCUACAAGUGUUUCAUCUCACUUAUUUCAUUUUUUGUGAUUUUAUUGGUUUUUA